rnacentral:sRNA from 1 species
UUUUGCUGGUUCUAAUUAGUAGCUUACAUUGUUUCUCAAGAACAUGUUAAUAUUGCUGAAAAUGCUAAAUAUUGAAAAUAUCCUUAACCAUGUAGAUAACUCCGUUGGCAACUCCCAAAUUCUUUUGUCUUUAUUUGGUUUAGUAACAGUCGGGGCCAGAUGUCUUCGUUUGCGUCUGUCUGAGCACCUACAACUAGCCAAUUCACUUUUCCAUAGCGAAGUAGGAUCGUCGGGCAUGGGCAUUCAUUUAUUGUGUCUGUUUAAAAAAUUUCCCAAGCAAAUCCAAGAAUGUGGUUAUGAAAGCCAAGGCCUGUUGCCAAAGGAUGAUUGUGUGUGUGUGUCUGUGUGUGUGUGUGUCUGUGUGUGUGUGCGUGCUGCUGGUAGAGCAUGUGUUAUGUUAUGCAACAUCUGACCCUUGAGCUCUGGAUGCCAUCCAAAGAGUAGCUGGGUGCCCAGGGAGUGGCUUACAGCCUUGAUGUUUGGUCUUUGGAGUUUCAACUGUUUGUAAACAGUCUCUCUGCUGAUAGAUCUGACAAGGCCCGGCUGCUCUUCAGACCUGGUGAUCUUGCUUAUAGAGCCUGGGCAAAGUUCUCUGAAUGGGCCAGUGAGGAACCAGCUCCAAGCUUACACUAGGGACCUCUGGAUAUUCCCAAGAUCUCUGUGGUAUGUUUUCAAUGCAGCAACUUCAGCUUGCUCUGCUGGAGUUCCACAAGCUAGGCAGCUCAUUAAGAAGAAACACCUUGGACACAUUGUACUUAAUAGCAUCCUUCUGAGCUGAGCAAAAGAUCCACUUAUUAUCAGGUAUCCCUCAGGAUAGAGGCAGUGUGGAGAGUUCUACCCAACAGCUUGGCGGAAAACAGAAGUGAUAUAUAGAAAGAACCUGCUUGGAUACAGGGUGUUUUUUUUCUACAUUGGGGGGAAAAAAAAGCUCCCCGUAAAACAGUAAGCCAUGUUAGCUUUGCAGCAGCCUCCCAUGUCUCCUCUGUCACACAUCUCUGGGUUGCAACGGUCCCACCGUGCUCGAUUUCAUCUCAUAUUGUUCACCAGGACCUCGAAACCCAUGCUAAUGUCACCAUCAAGAGACCAAAAGGAAUCCUAGACUUGGAAACAGAAUUAAAAGCAGUAAGGACUAUGGAGGUGGGAAAUCAGAAAUGGUUACUGAGUGCCAGUCAGUCGUGUCCCAUUUGCUCAAAGCUAUCAUCUUGAUGAAAAAUAAAUAAAUAAAUAAAUAAAUAAAUAAAUAAA